rnacentral:tRNA from 1 species
GAUACAUUGGACGAUUGGCUAAGUUACCACCCUUUCAAGGUGGCGAGACGGGUUCGAUUCCCGUAUGUAUCA